CAGCGCCGCGGGAAUACGGAGGGGGCUAGCGUUGUUCGGAAUUACUGGGCGUAAAGCGCACGUAGGCGGCUUGGUAAGUUAGAGGUGAAAGCCUGGAGCUCAACUCCAGAAUUGCCUUUAAGACUGCCGAGCUAGCAGGUGAGAGAGGUAAGUGGAAUUCCGAGUGUAGAGGUGAAAUUCGUAGAUAUUCGGAAGAACACCAGUGGCGAAGGCGGCUUACUGGCUCAUACUGGACGCUGAGGUGCGAAAGCGUGGGGAGCAAACAGGAUUAGAUACCCCCGUAGUCCCUGUCUCUUAUACA
rnacentral:rRNA from 1 species